rnacentral:rRNA from 1 species
AUACGUAGGGGGCGAGCGUUGUCCGGAAUGAUUGGGCGUAAAGGGCGCGUAGGCGGCCCGGUAAGUCUGGAGUGAAAGUCCUGUUUUUAAGAUGGGAAUUGCUUUGGAUACUGUCGGGCUUGAGUGCAGGAGAGGUAAGUGGAAUUCCCAGUGUAGCGGUGAAAUGCGUAGAGAUUGGGAGGAACACCAGUGGCGAAGGCGAGUUACUGGACUGUAACUGACGCUGAGGCGCGAAAGUGUGGGGAGCAAACAGGAUUAGAUACCCUGGUAGUCCACACUGUAAACGAUGAAUGCUAGGUGUAGGGGGUAUCGACCCCUUCUGUGCCGCAGUCAACACAAUAAGCAUUCCGCCUGGGGAGUACGGCCGCAAGGUUGAAACUUAAAGGAAUUGACGGGG